GAUGAACGCUGGCGGCGUGCCUAAUACAUGCAAGUCGAGCGAACGGACGAGAAGCUUGCUUCUCUGAUGUUAGCGGCGGACGGGUGAGUAACACGUGGAUAACCUACCUAUAAGACUGGGAUAACUUCGGGAAACCGGAGCUAAUACCGGAUAAUAUUUUGAACCGCAUGGUUCAAUAGUAAAAGACGGUCUUGCUGUCACUUAUAGAUGGAUCCGCGCUGCAUUAGCUAGUUGGUAAGGUAACGGCUUACCAAUGCAACGAUGCAUAGCCGACCUGAGAGGGUGAUCGGCCACACUGGAACUGAGACACGGUCCAGACUCCUACGGGAGGCAGCAGUAGGGAAUCUUCCGCAAUGGGCGAAAGCCUGACGGAGCAACGCCGCGUGAGUGAUGAAGGUCUUCGGAUCGUAAAACUCUGUUAUUAGGGAAGAACAUAUGUGUAAGUAACUGUGCACAUCUUGACGGUACCUAAUCAGAAAGCCACGGCUAACUACGUG
rnacentral:rRNA from 1 species